CAACGCAUUAUUAUGUAAAUUACAAUUUAAAACCUCUUGUUAUCUAGUUAGCCCCGAAAAAUACCUAACCUACGAGAUUAGCCUUAGGCUGGUAACUCCAAUGGAAAUAAUCAAUUGUCAAACGAAGCGUUCGCGCAAUUUUCGAAUCCAAUGAGUUUGGCGGGAAAUUCAAUUAUUUGUUAUAGCUUCGAAGACACUUUUUUGACAAUUAAGGUGUGGCUUCUCUAAUUGCUUUAGAUAGUAGAAGAAUUAACAGAUAAUCCUGAGCUCAGUGGUUACUGGAGUUGGUAUAAAUUGUCAAGUGAAUACCGCCACACACACUGAGACGAGAGGUGAAAGUUUCGAUAUAAGGCAUACUAACAGCUGUCACAUGAUUGAGAUCGCAAAAUGCACGGUGAUGAGUUAUAAAGUACGGACUAAAAAUGCUACUAGUAAAAUCAACUAUGAAUACCCUGAUGGACAGCCGAGCAGAUGAUUGUAGGUAUCUUCUAACCCUACUCUCUACUUCUAAACUCCAAGAGAAACUAGGGUUUUAAAACAUUGGUGUUAAAAUAAAAUCAUUAGAUAUU